GGGCAGUAGGGGAGGGAGGGACUCGGGUUAUUCAUGCAUCUGUUCCCAGGCACUCUGCUUAGCCCCAUGUUCCUCCUGUUGAAGUGAUCACUCGGAAUACAGAAAGCGGAAAAAAAGGUUUCAGAUAUCCCUUCACCCGAGAUUUCACGGAGCGCCCGGUACAAGCCAGGACCCCGAGGAGAGUUUCUAUGCUGUGCAGUCCAGUCUGGUGCUUCCAACAGGAAUCCCUGAAGGAAUUCGGCUGGGACCAGAGAUCUGAUUUCCAGGGGUUAAAGUUGGGCACUCUGCCUUAGGGGUACCUGAGAAGCACUGCUGGGCGAUGAGGAACUGCUGAAGGGUUACAGGCAGCAGUGCUGGGCACACAGUGGGAGUCAGCUGAGUGCUUCUCAAAUGGAUGGUCUUAGGUUUCAUCAUCUGUAUGAUUUUAAAUGAAGCAGAUCACCUGAAUACACCAUGGCGUCUGAAUGAACAAACGUUUGUAAAUGACACUCAGAAAGGAUGGGUGUGGAAGGCCUCUGCAGGUCUCCAGGUCUCAU